AGUGAACGCUGGCGGUAGGCCUAACACAUGCAAGUCGAACGGCAGCACAGUAAGAGCUUGCUCUUACGGGUGGCGAGUGGCGGACGGGUGAGGAAUACAUCGGAAUCUACUUUUUCGUGGGGGAUAACGUAGGGAAACUUACGCUAAUACCGCAUACGACCUACGGGUGAAAGCAGGGGAUCUUCGGACUUUGCGCGAUUGAAUGAGCCGAUGUCGGAUUAGCUAGUUGGCGGGGUAAAGGCCCACCAAGGCGACGAUCCGUGGCUGGUCUGAGAGGAUGAUCAGCCACACUGGAACUGAGACACGGUCCAGACUCCUACGGGAGGCAGCAGUGGGGAAUAUUGGACAAUGGGCGCAAGCCUGAUCCAGCCAUACCGCGUGGGUGAAGAAGGCCUUCGGGUUGUAAAGCCCUUUUGUUGGGAAAGAAAAGCAGCAGGUUAAUACCCCGCUGUUCUGACGGUACCCAAAGAAUAAGCACCGGCUAACUUCGUG
rnacentral:rRNA from 1 species